GUCAGAAUGGCUUGUGUAGAAGGCAGUGAAAUCAGAGGAUGCUGUAAAACUGGAUAUGUGGUUCUUGGCUCACAAAUAAGAUUGUUACUCUACUCCAGUGGAGAGUUGGAGGCAAGUAGAUUUGUUUCAAGCAUCUAUCUUAGCCAGGACUACCAUCUGACAGUUUCCAUGGGGAAAAAAAGUAGGAUUCAGUAACUCUGGAGUGAUCUACAUAUCUAUAAAAAAAUAUUGGAGAGAAAAAUCAUGAUUUCUUCUUUCAAA